GGCUGGUCCAUGUGCAGUGGUAAUUACAAUUAAUUGAUCACAACCAGUUACAGAUUUCUUUGUUCCUUCUCCACUCCCACUGCUUCACCUGACUAGCCUUUA
ensembl:Y_RNA Y_RNA Y RNA